AUUGAACGCUGGCGGCAUGCCUUACACAUGCAAGUCGAACGGCAGCACGGGAGCAAUCCUGGUGGCGAGUGGCGAACGGGUGAGUAAUAUAUCGGAACGUGCCCAGUCGUGGGGAUAACGUAGCGAAAGCUACGCUAAUACCGCAUACGAUCUAUGGAUGAAAGCGGGGGAUCGCAAGACCUCGCGCGAUUGGAGCGGCCGAUAUCAGAUUAGGUAGUUGGUGAGGUAAAGGCUCACCAAGCCGACGAUCUGUAGCUGGUCUGAGAGGACGACCAGCCACACUGGGACUGAGACACGGCCCAGACUCCUACGGGAGGCAGCAGUGGGGAAUUUUGGACAAUGGGCGCAAGCCUGAUCCAGCAAUGCCGCUGCAGGAUG
rnacentral:rRNA from 1 species